UACGUAGGGCGCAAGCGUUGUCCGGAAUCAUUGGGCGUAAAGAGCUCGUAGGCGGCCUGUUGCGUCCGCUGUGAAAUCCCGGGGCUUAACCUCGAGACGUCGGCGGAAACCAUCUGGCUAGAGUCCGGAAGAGGAGAGUGGAAUUCCUGGUGUAGCGGUGAAAUGCGCAGAUAUCAGGAAGAACACCCGUGGCGAAGGCGGCUCUCUGGGCAACAACUGACGCUGAGGAGCGAAAGCGUGGGGAGCGAACAGG
rnacentral:rRNA from 1 species